UCCGAUAUGGUGUAGUGGCCAACAUGAUGCCCUCUCAUCGCUCGUGAGAGGUUAGGCAUAGCCCCGAGUUCGAUUCUCGGUUUCGGAA
rnacentral:tRNA from 1 species